rnacentral:rRNA from 1 species
CCUACGGGUGGCUGCAGUAAGGAAUAUUGGUCAAUGGACGCAAGUCUGAACCAGCCAUGCCGCGUGGAGGAUGAAGGUCCUCUGGAUUGUAAACUUCUUUUAUUUGGGAAGAAACUCCCGAUUUCCAUCGGGAUUGACGGUACCAGAUGAAUAAGCACCGGCUAACUCCGUGCCAGCAGCCGCGGUAAUACGGAGGGUGCGAGCGUACUGGGGAUUCCGUGGGUUUAAAGGGUGCGGUGGGUGACAGGUAAAAUCUCCGGGCUUAACCCGGAAACUGCCAUUGAUACUAUUUGUCUUGAAUACUCUGGAGGUGAGCGGAAUAUGUCAUGUAGCGGUGAAAUGCUUAGAUAUGACAUAGAACACCCAUUGCGAAGGCAGCUCACUACGGAAAUAUUGACGCUGAGGCACGAAAGCGUGGGGAUCAAACAGGAUUAGAUACCCGGGUAGUC